rfam:Paenibacillus dendritiformis C454 PDENDC1000197, whole genome shotgun sequence.
GGCACUCGGUGUAACUGGCGACGGAAGUGGGAGAACCACGGUGGAGCAUCGAGUGAUAUACGGCCGGUCGCCUGGGCGAAAGAG